rnacentral:lncRNA from 1 species
GGAGUUAAUUUUUUUAUUUAACACAAAAUAUUCACACACAAUACACCCAACACGCGCAUACACACAUCCAUCAGAUCUCUCUCUACAUUCUCCCUUUUCUCUCUCUAGAAACCACCAACCAACGAUGCCCGCUGCUCCGUCGAGAUGCACCGCCGACAAAACACCAUUAUUACCGCCCUCUUCUCCCCAUCAUCUCCAUGAACCACCGAUGACUCCCACCGCACACCACGUCUCCCUUCUACUCCCUCACCGGCGAGCAACCCAACGAACCACCACCUCUUCACUGCCGCCUCACCAGCCACGACCAUACAUCCUUCCCCCUAUUUCCUCUUCCCCUUUCCUUCGUCGGCGUCGCUGAAUCGCCGGUAGUGACGGCCGGCGGGCUUUCCAGCCACCAUACCGCUGCCAUCACGUCCCUUGGGUUCAUUUUUUGUUACGGAAGAAGUGGUAUUUCCAUCACCACUAUUCGACCCACAGAUCUGGCCGCAUUUUAAUUUUGAGUGUUGCUCCGGUGAAAACCGUUGAAGCAACACCGAUCUGACUAAAGUUGCUCACUCUCUGAUGAAUUGUUAUUUUCGAACUUUUUUGACUGCAUUUUGUUUCAUAUAUUUGUGUAUAUUGUUGCUUACUUUUGCUGUUGUUGCUAUUUUGCUCCGUUCUCGAUUAUUUUGCCACGUGGGUUUUGCUGGUGUUUUGCAUCAGGCAUUGGUUUUGGAUGAUUUUCGUUAUUACAUAACGAACAGAUACUACGCUGCAUUGGCCGAUGAAAAAUUUUCCUUUCAUUUUUGAGGCCUUUGCAAAUAAAAACAUGGAUAUUAAGUAUAUAAGUACGUAAUAAAAUAAAUAAAUUUGAUUGAUGAAAAUUUUUUUCGCUGAUUUUUGAGACCUUUACAAAUAAAUAAAUGGAUUUUACAUAUAUAAAUACGUAAUAAAAUAGAUUAAUUUGAUCGAUGAAGAAAUUUUUCAUUGAUUUUCGAGGCCUUUGUAAAUAAAAAGACUUAUAUUAUAUAUAUAAGUACGUAAUAAAAUAAAUAAAUUUGGGUGAUGACGAAAUUUUUAUAACGAUGCAAAAGUUUUAUGAUUCAUAUCUUAACAAAAUGAUUUAGGACGGCUAAUAAAUUGAGCAAUCACUUUGCAGUCAUGGCGUACCUAAAAUCAGAUCUGAGCCCUCCCUUUCAACGAAAAAUUAUAUUUUAUAUUUAUAUAUGUACACGAAAAAUUAUAUUUUAUAUUUAUAUAUGCACACAUAUCUUUUUAAUUUAUUUUGAUAAUUAUUUAUUUAUUAUUAAAAUUUUAUUACAAGUGUUUAUACAUGUUAUUGGAAAUAUUCAUCGGGAAUAACAUUUAAGGAAGUUUUAAUUUUUAUGUUUGUAUUUUUAUACUUUUACAAUUGUACAAAUAUUAAUUAUAGUGAAAUUCUUAUUUUGGGGUGUUGAGCGGGAUAUUUUUUAUUUACACAAUCCUCAUCACGCGUUAGGCAAUUUUAGGUCGUUAAUAUUUCCAUUAAAAUUGAUUUAGAUAUUUAAUCAAAUAAUUCAUACUUUUUACAUUAAAUUAUUACGUGGUCUUUUUUUUAAAAUAAUUUUUCUUUAUUCAAUUUUGUCUUUUCUUUACAUAUAUAUACGUAUAUACUUUUGUUUAUAUAUAUGACAACAUACGCAUUGUAUUA